UACGGGGGGGGCAAGCGUUGUUCGGAAUUACUGGGCGUAAAGGGCUCGUAGGCGGCCAACUAAGUCCGACGUGAAAUCCCAAGGCUUAACCUUGGAACUGCGUCGGAUACUGGAUGGCUUGAAUUCGGGAGAGGGAUGCAGAAUUCCAGGUGUAGCGGUGAAAUGCGUAGAUAUCUGGAGGAAUACCGGUGGCGAAGGCGGCUCUCUGGGACGGUACUGACGCUGAGACGCGAAAGCGUGGGGAGCGAACAGG
rnacentral:rRNA from 1 species